rnacentral:lncRNA from 1 species
UUUUUUUUUUUUUUUUUUUUUACCUGAAAAGAUGAGAAUAAAGCAACCAUUUACUUCAGAGUGUCAUAUGAGGAUUAACCUUUCCAUUCUUAUCCCUCUGACAUACCUGAAGUGGAAAGGACACAGGUUUUGAAGUGUGGCAGGCGUGGGCUUGUCACCUAAUCUCUCUGAACAUCAGUUUCUUUGGCUGCAGAAUGGGGAUAAUGAUAUCCACAUUGUAGGUUUAUUGUGGGGUUUAAAUGCAGUAAAGAAUUUACCAACCAAUACCCUGACGCGGAACAGGCACUCAGGAAUUAAAAUGAAAGAAUAAAUAUGUUUAUUGUUUAGGCACCUGCUAAGCUACUGUGCUUUGCUAUAACUAGGUCCAGACAGGUUUUAAGAGGUACAGAUUGGAGAUCCACCUGCUGACAGCCCACCGUCCCACACUUCCUAUUUUAAGGCUCAGCUUGUGCUGCCAGGCACCUCACAUUUGGUUUGGAACAUUUUGGGCCAUCAGAACUAGAAACAGGUGCGACCGUCUACCUGCCGGGGUCACUGGUAGAGGCAGAGACUGCAGUGGGCUUGGGAGACACGGACUCCCUGCAUUCCUGUCGCAGCUGAGCCACUUCCUCCUGGUGACCUUGUGAGAGUUUCCUCAUCUGUAAAAGGGGCAGCAAUUCCUACUUUGCAGAGGUGUGCCGUGAGGUGAUAAACUUGGCAAAUGAAUAGCAUAAGGUGGUGAAGCAGCAGGGACCCAGCAGGCACUCAAUCCUGCAGCUGUCAGCAAUUCUCAGAGGGUCUCUGUAGGACCCUGUGUACAUGAGACCAAGCUCUCCUUCCGUCCUGCCUUUCCCGCAGCCAAUUGUACUUAUAUUCAGAGAGACCCACAGCUCUGCCCAACUAUUAGAAAUGGAUUCCUGGCUGGGUGCAGUGGCUCACACCUGUAAUCCCAGUACUUUGGGAGGCUGGGGCGGGUGGAUCACUUGAGGUCAGGAGAUCGAGACCGUCCUGGCAAACAUGGUGAAACCCCAUCUCUACUACAAAUACAAAAGUUAGCCGGGCAUGAUGGCAGGUGCCUGUAGUCCCAGCUACUCAGGAGGCUGAGGCAGGAGAAUCUCUGGGACUCAGGAGGUGGAGGUUGCAGUGAGCUGAGAUGUUGCCACUGCACUCCAGCCUGGGCAACAGAGCAAGACUGUCUCAAAAAAUAAAAAUAAAAAGAGAUUUCUAAAAAUUGUUAGUUUUUAUUUAUUUUUAAGUGACCAGGUCUCACUCUUAGCCCGACCGUGGCCACACUCUGGCAUACAGCAGAUCCCCAACAAAUAUGAGACCCUUCCCUUCCCUCUCUCCCUGUUCAUUGCUGUGGGCUUGGCCACAGACACAGAGGAAUUCUCCUUGCUGAAACCGAACACCCUCAUGAGGAGAUCUACUUUCUGGGAUGGUUCUCACCCUUCCUCCCCUUAUCGGUUCGACACCGAUCCCUGGGGCCAGCACACCUCAUCGCUUGUCUGUUUGUUUUUCUAGACCCCUGACUCCAAACCGUGGGUACCCCACUACCUCUCUGUUUUUGUUGUUUAACUCACACUGUGUUAUGUUUGGUUAUUUAGUUGUUUAUUGCUGCUUAACAAACCACCCCAGAACAUAGUGACUGAAGACAACUGUGUUUAUUAUUUCUCAAGGUUCUGUGGGUCAGGAAUCAGGGCAGAGUGGAUGGAGCUGGCUCAUCUCUGUCCCAUGUGACAUCUCCUGGGACUG